rnacentral:rRNA from 1 species
GAUGAACGCUGGCGGUAUGCCUAACACAUGCAAGUCGAACGGAGUAGCAAUACUCAGUGGCGGACGGGUGAGUAACGCGUGAGAAUCUGCCUUUAGGAUGGGGAUAACAGUGGGAAACUACUGCCAAGACCCGAUGUGCCGUAAAAGGUGAAACAUGAAAAUUGCCUAAAGAGGAGCUCGCGGCUGAUUAGCUAGUUGGUAGUGUAAGAGACAACCAAGGCGACGAUCAGUAGCUGGUCUGAGAGGAUGAGCAGCCACACUGGGACUGAGACACGGCCCAGACUCAUACGGGAGGCAGCAGUGGGGAAUUUUCCGCAAUGGGCGAAAGCCUGACGGAGCAAUACCGCGUGAGGGAGGAAGGCUCUUGGGUUGUAAACCUCAGAACUUAGGGAAGAAAAAAAUGACGGUACCUAAUCUAAGCAUCGGCUAACUCCGUGCCAGCAGCCGCCGUAAAAC